CAGCUUGCUGGGCGGAUUAGUGGCGAACGGGUGAGUAAUACGUGAGUAACCUGCCCUUGACUCUGGGAUAAGCCUGGGAAACUGGGUCUAAUACUGGAUACUACCUCUUGCCGCAUGGUGGGUGGUGGAAAGGGUUUUACUGGUUUUGGAUGGGCUCACGGCCUAUCAGCUUGUUGGUGGGGUAAUGGCUCACCAAGGCGACGACGGGUAGCCGGCCUGAGAGGGUGACCGGCCACACUGGGACUGAGACACGGCCCAGACUCCUACGGGAGGCAGCAGUGGGGAAUAUUGCACAAUGGGCGGAAGCCUGAUGCAGCGACGCCGCGUGAGGGAUGACGGCCUUCGGGUUGUAAACCUCUUUCAGUAGGGAAGAAGCGAGAGUGACGGUACCUGCAGAAGAAGCGCCGGCUAACUACGUGCCAGCAGCCGCGGUAAUACGUAGGGCGCAAGCGUUGUCCGGAAUUAUUGGGCGUAAAGAGCUCGUAGGCGGUUUGUCGCGUCUGCUGUGAAAGCCCGGGGCUCAACCCCGGGUCUGCAGUGGGUACGGGCAGACUAGAGUGCAGUAGGGGAGACUGGAAUUCCUGGUGUAGCGGUGAAAUGCGCAGAUAUCAGGAGGAACACCGAUGGCGAAGGCAGGUCUCUGGGCUGUUACUGACGCUGAGGAGCGAAAGCAUGGGGAGCGAACAGGAUUAGAUACCCUGGUAGUCCAUGCCGUAAACGUUGGGCACUAGGUGUGGGGGACAUUCCACGUUUUCCGCGCCGUAGCUAACGCAUUAAGUGCCCCGCCUGGGGAGUACGGCCGCAAGGCUAAAACUCAAAGGAAUUGACGGGGGCCCGCACAAGCGGCGGAGCAUGCGGAUUAAUUCGAUGCAACGCGAAGAACCUUACCAAGGCUUGACAUUCACCGGACCGCCCCAGAGAUGGGGUUUCCCUUCGGGGCUGGUGGACAGGUGGUGCAUGGUUGUCGUCAGCUCGUGUCGUGAGAUGUUGGGUUAAGUCCCGCAACGAGCGCAACCCUCGUUCUAUGUUGCCAGCACGUGAUGGUGGGGACUCAUAGGAGACUGCCGGGGUCAACUCGGAGGAAGGUGGGGAUGACGUCAAAUCAUCAUGCCCCUUAUGUCUUGGGCUUCACGCAUGCUACAAUGGCCGGUACAAAGGGUUGCGAUACUGUGAGGUGGAGCUAAUCCCAAAAAGCCGGUCUCAGUUCGGAUUGAGGUCUGCAACUCGACCUCAUGAAGUCGGAGUCGCUAGUAAUCGCAGAUCAGCAACGCUGCGGUGAAUACGUUCCCGGGCCUUGUACACACCGCCCGUCAAGUCACGAAAGUUGGUAACACCCGAAGC
rnacentral:rRNA from 1 species